rnacentral:misc_RNA from 1 species
UGGCUCUCGCAUCGAUGAAGAACGCAGCGAAAUGCGAUAAGUAAUGUGAAUUGCAGAUUUUCAGUGAAUCAUCGAAUCUUUGAACGCACCUUGCGCCUCAUGGUAUUCCGUGAGGCAUGCCUGUUUGAGUGUCAUUAAAUUAUCAACUCCAAUGAUCUUUGAUUGUUGUGAAUUGGAUUUGAGGUGUGCUGGAAUUUGUUUCCGGCUCCCUUUUAAAAGCAUCAGCGGAGACACUCGCUUCCGGCACAUAGACGUGAUAAUUAUCUUCGUUUUUGUGACUGGUCUUGAGUCUGCUUAUAAUUGUCUCACUUGAGACACUAAUAUGACAAUUUGACCUCAAAUCAGGUAGGACUACCCGCUGA